rnacentral:rRNA from 1 species
GAUGAACGCUGGCGGCGUGCCUAAUACAUGCAAGUCGAGCGAACAGACGAGGAGCUUGCUCCUCUGACGUUAGCGGCGGACGGGUGAGUAACACGUGGAUAACCUACCUAUAAGACUGGGAUAACUUCGGGAAACCGGAGCUAAUACCGGAUAAUAUAUUGAACCGCAUGGUUCAAUAGUGAAAGACGGUUUUGCUGUCACUUAUAGAUGGAUCCGCGCCGCAGUAGCUAGUUGGUAAGGUAACGGCUUACCAAGGCAACGAUGCGUAGCCGACCUGAUAGGGUGUACAGCCACACUGGAACUGAGACACGGUCCAGACUCCUACGGGAGGCAGCAGUAGGUACUCUUCCGCAAUGGACGAAAGCUUGACGGAGCAACGCCGCGUGAGUGAUGAAGGUCUUCGGAUCGUAAAACUCUGUUAUUAGGGAAGAACAAAUGUGUAAGUAACUAUGCACGUCUUGACGGUCCCUAAUCAGAAAGCCACGGCUAACUACGUG